CAAUUCCUAGAAAUAGGAAUGUUUUCACACUAAGCCUAAUGUUUCUCGGAUUUCCGAUGUUAUAUAACCCUCUGCGAAAAAUUAAUGAGAAAAUUAAUGCUUCUAUUUUUAUAGUAUAACUUAGAAAAGUUUACAGCUGUUUAGUUCCUCAAACCUCUGAACAGCCUUGCCCAGAAGUUAAAAAAUCUCCACGCUCAUUCGAUUAAAAACCCAAAGAUGGGUUUUUCUUUCAUGGAAAAUAGUGUUUUUGGCAUUCUUUUUCCGUCCUUUUCUUUGGAAAUUGCAAUGUUCGUUUUCUCCUGAAAUCUUAGAAAUCUAAUUAUAUGCGUUGCCUGCAACUCGAAUACCUGAUCAUUUUGUGUGUCUUUGCAAACCGCGGUGACAGCAUCCAUAGCAAGCGAUGUGGCUAAACGGUUCUCUUCCCCUCUCUUUUGUGUUUGUGUGUGUGUGUGUGUCUGUGUGUUUGUUUUGAACAGCCCAUCCCUUCGGAGUUACCAAUGCUGGUGUCAUACAAGCAGCUAGAGAAGGGCCAUUCCGCCGAAGUGAAACCCACAGAGACUCUCACUCACUUGGCUGGCCAACAUCUCAGGAUAUUUCAAAUGCAACAAUUUUAAUUCUGCUUUUUUUUUUUUGGUGGGGGGUGAUGCACCCCAAAAGGAAGAUGCCAUUUAAAAAGAAAGAAAAAAGGUGCAUGGGUUUGGCUUUUUUUGGAACUUUUUAAAAACCGGUGCGAAAUCUGGAAGAUUUGGAGUUGAUCUCCCUCUUUCUCUCUCUCUCUCUCCCACCCCCAUCAUCGUCAUAAUGCCAGUCCCUGAGCCCCCCCAACUGGCCAUUUGGAUCGUGAAAAAUUGAGCGAGAUUUGGGACUCUUGAAAGGAAGGACGCAGCAUCUUCUGCUUUGCGAUGGGUUGUCGGGCGAGGGGUGGGGGAAUGAAAAGACAGUUUCCCAGCUGUGGGCUUUCCCUUCUGAACUAGUAAAAGAGCACAGAUUUUAAUUCUCACUUCGCAAGCGUCGAGUCGGAUGAGGUCUCUCGUCUAGCCUGCUUCCUCGCAGCCCUGCAGCAAUUCCAUUCUUCUACCAACAAAUUGGGUCAUGAAGUGCUACAUCAUCUUCUCUUUUUUCCCCCCCUCCUCUUCCUCACCAACUCAGCGGGUUUGAUUAAGGAAAUGGGGAUGGACUUUCUCCGCAAGACACCAACGCAGAUGUAACAAAAGCCACUUUUUUUAAAAAUACAAACACACCCCAUGGGGAAAACUCAGAAAGCUGAUGAGAUGCACCCCAAGUUCUCCUCUUUCGAAAUGCAAUCCGUUUUCUUCCCUCUGGCUUGGAAGCUUUCACACCGUCCAAAGUCAAGGCCCAUUUAAUUUCAAAAGCGUCAAAAGUGCCUGGGCUUCAACCCUCUUUCCCCCCCACUGGACCAUCCUGGUUUUGUGGAACGCUGGAAGAACUUUGGCUGUAGGACAUCGUGAGUGCCAGAUGUGGCCAGUGGUAGAUGGCUGAGUGGGCUUGUCAUCUUUUGCCGUGCAAAUUCUGCUCCCAUCUAAAACCUACGGGAAGUUCCAAUGGGAUGGAGGGAAGAACUAAUACUUCAAGCAAUACAUUCUGGAUGCAUUAGCACAUUGCUUUGCAAAGCAUCUGGGAUUCUCAAACUUCCACGUUUUGUCACCGUUUAGCGUGAAAACCAAAACAUCGACGGAGGCCAGGUUCCUAGAAGCACCCCGUUUUUCUAAGACUUUGCUCAGGAAGGAAGAAUCGGGUGAAUAGCUGGUCACCCACGUGGGACAAUAUGAGUUGUGUUAGACCCAAGCAACUCUGGUUUUGUUUGGACCUCCCUGGAUUUCUCUUUUUAUCCCCCUUAAUCUCCGUUCAUUCGUCCACCUUAAUCUUUGGAUUAGAGUGUCCGCCUGUUUCCUCUGGCCCAGUUUGGGCUGUUUAAUCAAGAACAGCACGGAAAAACUUUUUCUGCCACAUCCAGCAAGCCAUCUCUACACAUCCUUCGAAGGUGUCCUAUAAAACCUUUUGGCACAUAUAAAACAACAACAACAACAACAUCAAAAUUUGCAUGAGCAGAGCAGCAAAGCAUGUAUCCACGGGCAAAUUGGCAGAAUCCUUUGCAGCAUGGGGAAAAAACUACCCUCCUCCUGACACCCUCGAUGGCACGUGGAAUUUCCUCCAAAGUGUUUGUGGCCAGGAGAGCCACGAUGGAGGAAGAUCUAAGUUGGAAUCUCGAAGGAGGAUGGAAGCUUGGAUGUGUAGAUGCGGUUCUCCCCCUGCAAAAGAAGGCUGAGGAGAUACUCAAAAGUGUGUUGAUAGUAGGGCAUAGAGAGAGGAAAGUCUGUGUAGCUGUGAAGAACAAGGCAUGCAAUAAGGUACUACGAGUGCCUUUUAACGCACGUGCUUAUUGUUGAGAGGGAGACAAAAUGGGCAAAACACACCCACCCAUUAUCACCCAAGAGCAAUCUCAUUUUAUGCGUGCCGCUGGCAAAUAAGCUGCAUUUUUUUUACAACUUUGCAAAAGGCUAUCAAGAUAAGAACAACCUGUUGUUUUAUUUUUAAAAUUUUUUUUUUUGCAAAGGAAUAAUGGAGACCUGGACCCGAGUCCUUAAAAUAGCUCUUUAAAAAAAAGGGAAAAGCUUGCAGGAUGUCAGCUAACCACAUUUUUCCCCCCAACUUAAAAAGAAAAAAAAAAAACCCCUUAGUCUUGAUGUUUACAUGAUUCCCCGAUAACCCAAAACCCACUCCUGCAUCCAGUUUUAAUUGGGGAACAGAAGGGAAGGGUGUGUUUUUAAAAAAAUAAAAAUAAAAAUAAAUAAAUAACGGCAACCAUAAUACUUGGGGAGUUUGAGAAUUAGUUUUUCAUUCAAGGAAAACCAUGAGAAUAGCUCAUUCUGUUUCCAUUGUGGUGGACUCCCUAUCCAAAUAGAGCUGUGUUAAAAAUAAGAGGCAUUUUUCCUUUUUUUUUUUGCCAUGUGACCAAAAAAAAAAAAUGCAAUUCUAUAGUUUUUAAAACCACCACCUCUGCAUAAGAACCUGCCCAUCUCUUCUGGUCCUUCUAGAAUUUUGAUGUUCACUGCUAAAAGGAACAGCACGGCAAAAAUAAUAAUCAUUCCGCCCCCCCCCCCCAUUUUUUUUUUAACAAAAUAGGAUAGCCGGUUUCAAUCAAAGCUUGCAAUUCAUCCAGUUAACAAAUCAUGGUUAAUAUUGGGUGGUGUCAUGGGGUGAAGAUGCUCCUUCUGAACCUGGCACAAUCGGGGGACAAUUCUGUCCCCUCCAAUUUGGAUUGCACUGACCUUUCGGCCCCGACUUCAAUAAUGAAGCUUGCUUUGGGUGCGAAUCCCGCUCUUCUAUGCCGGUUGGCCGGUUAACUGAAGAUUGUAUAUCUUGGUGAGCUAAAAUAACCAUAAAUUCAGUGCCUCUCUAGGCACAAGAGACUACCGGUAGUUCUCAGUUUGAUAGUAUUCAUCCGACAAAACCAGCAAUGGAUCUUUGCAAACUAGAAAGCAGAAGGAAGAAUUGUAUAAAUAUACAUAUAUGUGUAUAUAUGUAUAUAAGAAAGAGGAUGUGUAAAUAUGGAACAGUGAGAUGGGGUGUAAACAUUCUAUAAAGAUUUUAAGGUGCAUUUUUCAGCUUGCCAAAAAGAAAAAAACCCCGAACCUCGGACUAUGUUAAUCACUACAACUGUGAUUUUGUAUCUUCAUGUUGCUUUAUACAAUAAUCGUGGAAUGUUAAAUUUUAUGAAUGCAAUCGGCUCUUUUUUCAUUACGAUUUUUUUUUCCAGUUUUCUUUUGAAAUGAUCAAUAAACUUUGGUAUGUUCUGAUGAUGGGUUUGAAACCACCUCUGUCACCUGGGAUGAACUUGGGUUUGAGGGGGGUGUUGUGGGUAACACUGUUGUAUUCACGGUAAGUGUGAAGUCAGAGGUGCGAAGCUGCAGGUGUGAAGUCAUCCGUGUGAACUUAAGAAAACCAUCCAGACAGAUGUGGAAAUAUCGACCUGCCUGUUUGAUGGGCAGUCAACUUCACUUCAAAUUAAGGAUGCACUACAAAACAUGUGAUGGAGUAAGCAAACACAAGUUUGCAAACCUCUCUUAAAAGUUUGCUAGCUUUUGAGGGAUAUGAAGGAGGGAUAUCCAGAGGAAUUAUUAUUAGCCCAUAUUGGAAUAAAAGCAAAUUGAUU